rnacentral:rRNA from 1 species
AUUGAACGCUGGCGGCAUGCUUUACACAUGCAAGUCGAACGGUAACAGGGACUUCGGUCUGCUGACGAGUGGCGAACGGGUGAGUAACAUAUCGGAACGUGCCCAGUAAUGGGGGAUAGCUCGGCGAAAGCCGGAUUAAUACCGCAUACGCCCUGAGGGGGAAAGUGGGGGAUCUUCGGACCUCACGUUAUUGGAGCGGCCGAUAUCAGAUUAGCUAGUUGGUGGGGUAAAGGCCUACCAAGGCGACGAUCUGUAGCUGGUCUGAGAGGAUGAUCAGCCACACUGGGACUGAGACACGGCCCAGACUCCUACGGGAGGCAGCAGUGGGGAAUUUUGGACAAUGGGCGAAAGCCUGAUCCAGCCAUGCCGCGUGAGUGAAGAAGGCCUCGGUGUAAGACGUCUUCUAGUGGAAGAAAGACGGA